UUACGAGGUCAGGACACUGUGAGGAUUGACAGAUUGAAAGCUCUUUCUUGAUUCAGUGGGUGGUGGUGCAUGGCCGUUCUUAGUUGGUGGAGUGAUUUGUCUGGUUAAUUCCGUUAACGAACGAGACCUUAACCUGCUAAAUAGUCACGCGAACCGGUCCGCAAGGGCUCAAAGUUCGCGGCUCGACUUCUUAGAGGGACUAUUCGCACCCGCCAGCGAAUGGAAGUUUGAGGCAAUAACAGGUCUGUGAUGCCCUUAGAUGUUCUCGGCCGCACGCGCGUUACACUGACGGAGUCAACGAGCGUUUUUCCUUGCCCGACAGGGCUGGGUAACCUCCUGAAACUCCGUCGUGAUGGGGAUAGAUCAUUGCAAUUAUUGAUCUUGAACGAGGAAUUCCUAGUAAGCGCGAGUCAUCAACUCGCGCUGAUUACGUCCCUGCCCUUUGUACACACCGCCCGUCGCUCCUACCGAUUGAACGGUCCGGCGAGAACUCCGGAUGGUC
rnacentral:rRNA from 1 species